UACGGAGGGUGCGAGCGUUGUUCGGAUUCAUUGGGCGUAAAGGGUGCGUAGGCGGCGCGGUAAGUCGGAUGUGAAAUCUCGGAGCUUAACUUCGAAACUGCAUUCGAUACUGCCGUGCUUGAGGACUGGAGAGGAGACUGGAAUUUACGGUGUAGCGGUGAAAUGCGUAGAUAAUCGUAAGGAAGACCAGUGGCGAAGGCGGGUCUCUGGACAGUUCCUGACGCUGAGGCACGAAGGUCAGGGGAGCAAACGGG
rnacentral:rRNA from 1 species